CAAUUAAUCACUUUGUAUGGUGCUUGUUAAUUGACAAGUUAAACGGGAAACACUAAUCAAACGUGUGCUGCCCCCGCAACGGUAAGUGAAUGUGAGUUGUUUUCACUACGGACUUAAUUACCACUGUGAUUAUUCAUGGGAAGGUAAAGUUCUUAUGUUCACCAGCCCGGAUAUCGGCCAUAGAUUGAGUCAAGUA
rnacentral:ncRNA from 2 species